GCAGCUGAGCUCAGUGUGUCCCCGACCGUGGGCGAGCGAGCAGUGUGGGGGAGCGCGUUCCGGUGGUUACAGUGCGGGGGCUUGACUCUCGUGUGCGUGUGUGCGUAUCUGUGUGGAGGUGUGCCGCCGCGCCUACAUACGACGACCGUCUCCGUUCUCCACACGGCGUACCUGUAGUGGGCCUGUGGCGGUGAUCGGCGUGGCUUGCGACAGGCGGAGGAGCUGUGUCUCGCCCUCGAGUGCUUUGCCGUUUUAAACAGUGGCGCGGCAGUGCAGGGGCUCGUGACGGGAGUGAUAACCGUGGCAGUGACAGCGCGACCAACCCCGACGACGACUGUGGAAUGAUAUCUUUGUUUGCGCGGCGCAGGUUGUUCCGGGGAUCGCCGAAGGACAGGGGAGCGAGACGAUGAGGUGGAGUUGACGAAGCGACAUCACGCUGAUAAUGGAGGCUCACUUGUGACAGAUACGAGAAAGAGCGACCAAGGGAAACAGAAAGAGAGGCGAAAGAGCGAAGGAGA
rnacentral:misc_RNA from 1 species